AACCAUUCUCACCUGCGGCUAGACCUGCGGAGGGAUCAUUACCGAGUUUACAACUCCCAAACCCCUGUGAACAUACCAAUUGUUGCCUCGGCGGAUCAGCCCGCUCCCGGUAAAACGGGACGGCCCGCCAGAGGACCCCUAAACUCUGUUUCUAUAUGUAACUUCUGAGUAAAACCAUAAAUAAAUCAAAACUUUCAGCAAUGGAUCU
rnacentral:misc_RNA from 1 species